GUAUGGAGAAAAUGUGACUUUUGGCCAUGACUGACAGGCUGGUUUGAGUAUUUCAGAAAACUCUGGGAUUUUUAUGCAUUACUAUCUAUAGAUGUACUCAGCAUUGUGUGAAAAACUGAAGGACAUACAUCAGACAGCAGCUCUGUUGGGAGAAGAAACCUUGUUUGUGAGACAGACACAGGAAGUUACAGAGAUAAUAAGCAGAAGUUUCUUCGAUAAUCCUGAAACACCAAAGACGAAGAAGAUACAGAAUUACUAGAAACACGUAUGCAAUACGGUUGCCAACAAAACAGCUACCAUGCCAGGAUAUGAUGCAGACACUGAGAAUGCUUUCAGUCGUGCAAUGAUAUAAAGUUUGUGAGAAUCCAGAGGCAUUCCAAACUGUUUCAACCUCCACAGGAAGUACAGAUGCUGCCAUGCUCACCACUGUGUAAAUGUGGAUUUACCAAUUAAAGUUAAAAGAAAUUAAAGCUGAUAAAAUAC